CUAGAAGUACCAUAAUCAGGGUUUGAAUGUCCCCACCCAGACUCAGGUUGAAAUUCAAUUCCCAUUGUGAGGCAGUGAGAGGUGGCACCAGGAGUGACCUUUAAGAGGUGAUGACAUCGUGAGGUCUCUACCCUCACAGAUGAUCCAUUAAUGAAGUGAUGGGUUCAUGGGCUAUGGUUUUUCUCCAGAGUGGGUGUGUUAUAAAAAUCAGUUUGGCUUUGUCUCUUUUAGGCAGCCUUCUCACUAUGUGAUGCCCUGGGCCACCUUAGGUCUCUGCAGAGUCCCUCACCAGGUGUGGCUCCUUGAUCUUGGACCUCCCAGCCUCUAGAACCAUGAUCUGAAUAGAACUUUAUUUUUUUGUAAAAUUACCCAGUCUGUGGUGUUCACUUACAGCAACAGAAAACAGACUGAGACAUCCAGAAUUGAAAACCUGACUCCAGCAGGAAUAUUGUCAAAGUAAAUUUGUAGGUCUACUAUGGGAGACAGUCUUUCUAUAGCUAGAAACAUGUUUGUCUUUUCAAAUACUGUGAAUUUUCCUGCCUCAGGAGCUUGAAUUUUCCAGCUCAAUUCUUCUCUCCCUAUACCCUUGACAGUUGUCACUUUUGUAGUUUUCAAUAUCUUGCCAACUACUUCACUCCGAGUUUGGCUAUGGAACUUGUCCUGGCUGAGUGAUGAACUCAGGGGCUGGAAAUGUGUUGGUGCAGUUGGCUCUGUUCACCUGCACAUCUGUCAUCACCAGUUAGCUCCCAGAUUAGAAGACGAUGAUAAGAGACUUGGAGCAGAGAGCUCUGGAGGUAACCCACAGAAUGAUGCAACGUCACCCCAGCCAAUAUGGAAUAGAGCAAAAGUCACUUUGGGCAAUCUGCAAACUUCUGAGCAAGAAACCAGUGUUUGUUAUUGUAUGCUGUUCAGGUUUUGUGACUGUUUGUUAUGCAGCAAUAUUAUGGCAACAAGCUAACCAAUGUCUUCCCUCUCCAAACAUUAUUUUCUCUAACACUUACUAAAUCCUCAAGUUUUAUGCUUUUUGGCAUUAAUUUUUGUUGAUCUGGGGAAAGUUUUAUCACCAAUGAAAUGACUGUGACUUCUGGGCUGGGGAUGUGGCUCAAGCAGUCGCGCGCUCGCCUGGCAUGCGUGCGGCCCGGGUUUGAUCCUCAGCACCACAUACAAAC
rnacentral:lncRNA from 1 species